rnacentral:rRNA from 1 species
UACGUAGGGGGCAAGCGUUGUCCGGAAUCAUUGGGCGUAAAGCGCGCGUAGGCGGCCCGAUAAGUCCGCUGUAAAAGUCCAGGGCUCAACCCUGGAAAGCCGGUGGAUACUGUCAGGCUCGAGUCCGGAAGAGGCGAGUGGAAUUCCUGGUGUAGCGGUGGAAUGCGCAGAUAUCAGGAGGAACACCGAUAGCGAAGGCAGCUCGCUGGGACGGUACUGACGCUAAGGCGCGAAGGCGUGGGGAGCGAACAGG